UACGCCGGGGGCUCGCUUUUCUCUUCCUCCCUUUUCUUAAAUUUUUCUUAGGCGGGUCUUUAAGUCAGGGGUGAAAUCCUGGAGCUCAACUCCAGAACUGCCUUUGAUACUGAGGAUCUUGAGUCCGGGAGAGGUGAGUGGAACUGCGAGUGUAGAGGUGAAAUUCGUAGAUAUUCGCAAGAACACCAGUGGCGAAGGCGGCUCACUGGCCCGGUACUGACGCUGAGGCACGAAAGCGUGGGGAGCAAACAGG
rnacentral:rRNA from 1 species